AUGAAAUGUUUCUGACCCAAAAUAUUACGAAAUAUGAUUGUUUACAUUAAAAUGCAAAAGUUGAUGAAAAAGUAUGAUAAGGUGAAAAAAGUGACAUUUUAUGUCUAGAAAGUCACUUUUCAUCAAAAGUACAAUAACAAAACUAGUUCCCAUUCAUCCUGUGUCCCCUUACACACUUGUGCUCUUUAUCCGCUCAAAACGCUAUACAGCGAACGAGAAGGCGCUAGGAGCAAAGGAAAGUUGUUUUUCAAACAAACUCAUAUAAUCAGUUGCCCGACCUACUCCAAUUUGAUUCUUUUCACAUAUUUAGACAUAAUAUAGUACUAUGAAAUGUUUCUGACCCAAAAUAUUACGAAAUAUGAUUGUUUACAUUAAAAUGUAAAAGUUGAUGUUACAGUGUGAUAAGGUGAAAAAAGUGACAUUUUAUGUCUAGAAAGUCAGUUUUCAUCAAAAGUACAAUAACAAAACUAGUUCCCAUUCAUCCUGUGUCCCCUUACACACUUGUGCUCUUUAUCCGCUCAAAACGCUAUACAGCGAACGAGAAGGCGCUAGGAGCAAAGGAAAGUGGUUUUUCUAACAACCUCGUAUAAUCAGUUGCCCGACCUACUCCAAUUUGAUUCUUUUCACAUAUUUAGACAUAAUAUAGUACUAUGAAAUGUUUCUGACACAAAAUAUUACGAUAUAUGAUAGUUUACAUUAAAUGUAAAAGUUGAUGAAAAAGUAUGAUAAGGUGAAAAAAGUGACAUUUUAUGUCUAGAAAGUCACUUUUCAUCAAAAGUACAAUAACAAAACUAGUUCCCAUUCAUCCUGUGUCCCCUUACACACUUGUGCUCUUUAUCCGCUCAAAACGCUAUACAGCGAACGAGAAGGCGCUAGGAGCAAAGGAAAGUGGUUUUUCGAACAAACUCAUAUAAUCAGUUGCACGACCUACUCCAAUUUGAUUCUUUUCACAUAUUUAGACAUAGUAUAGUACUAUGAAAUGUUUCUGACCUAAAAUAUUACGAAAUAUGAUUGUUUACAUUAAAAUGUAAAAGUUGAUGUUACAGUGUAAUAAGGUGAAAAAAGUGACAUUUUAUGUCUAGAAAGUCACUUUACAUCAAAAGUACAAUAACAAAACUAUUUCCCAUUCAUCCUGUGUGUCCAUGCACACUGGUGCUCUUUGUGUGUGUGUGUAUGCAGGUUCUACAAAAACAGAAAGCUCCAAAUUG
ensembl:lncRNA